GGGCCAAUAAAAAUCCCCAAAAACACACAGUUUUGGUCCUAAACUUACUGCUACUUUUAAUCAAAUUUACACAUGCAAGCAUCCACACACCAGUGAAAUACGCCCUAACACAGCAUAAAUGGAGCAGGUAUCAGGCACAACUACUAGCCAAAAACACCAAGCUUUGCCACACCCACACGGGCCAUCAGCAGUGAUAAACAUUAAGCAAUAAGCGAAGACACCAAACUAUAAAGCUUGACUUAGUUAUGAUUAAUGGGGCCGGUAAACCUCGUGCCAGCCACCGCGGUUAUACGAGGGGCCCAAAGCAGCAGACUCUCGGCGUAAAUAGUGGCUAGAAUAAUUACCACACAUUAAAAACUAAACCAUAUCCUAACCGUAAAACAUAGGCUAAAUGAAAUCAAACACUUUUAAUAACAGGUAAUUUGAACCACGAAAACUAAGAAACAAACUAGGAUUAGAUACCCUACUAUGCUUAGUCGUUAAUAUGAUAUUAUAAUACUAAAAUAUCCGCCAGAAGACUACGAGCGAAAAGCUUAAAACUCAAAGGACUUGGCGGUGCUCCACACCGACUUAGAGGAGCCUGUCCUAUAAUCGAUAUCCCACGUUAAACCUCACCAAUCUUUGCCAAAUCAGCCUAUAUACCGCCGUCGUCAACCCACCUCAUGAGAGAAAAACAGUGAGGACAAAAGUUUAAUAACUAAAACGUCAGGUCAAGGUGUAGCU
rnacentral:rRNA from 1 species